GGGGAUAUAGCUCAGUGGUAGAGUACUUGAUCACCAUGUGCAAGGUCCUGGGUUCAAUCCCCAAUACUGCCA
rnacentral:tRNA from 1 species